UCCCAGACUCCUACGGGAGGCAGCAGUGGGGAAUAUUGGGCAAUGGGCGGAAGCCUGACCCAGCAACGCCGCGUGAAGGAAGAAGGCCCUCGGGUUGUAAACUUCUUUUCUAUAGGACGAAGAAGUGACGGUACUAUAGGAAUAAGCCACGGCUAACUACGUGCCAGCAGCCGCGGUAAUACGUAGGUGGCGAGCGUUAUCCGGAUUUACUGGGUGUAAAGGGAGCGUAGACGGCAGUGCAAGUCUGAAGUGAAAGCCCCGGGCUUAACCCGGGAAUUGCUUUGGAAACUGUACGGCUGGAGUGCUGGAGAGGUAAGCGGAAUUCCUAGUGUAGCGGUGAAAUGCGUAGAUAUUAGGAGGAACACCAGUGGCGAAGGCGGCUUACUGGACAGUAACUGACGUUGAGGCUCGAAAGCGUGGGGGGCAAACAGGAUUAGAUACCCCCGUAG
rnacentral:rRNA from 1 species